rnacentral:lncRNA from 1 species
ACAUCUAUCAAAUCAGCCCUGCCUCAAAGUUCAGCUCACCCACCAGGAAUAAAACAUUUUCUACUGAAAAUGAAGAUAGAUAAUUUAAAGUGUAGAAAGAAAAAAUCAAAUUGAAGGGAAAGUGGGGUCAGUGGAGAAGAAUGAAGCCAGGGAGAGGUUUCUGAGUGUCCAGAUCAAAGACAGAAACAUAAUCUGUUGCAAAAUUUCUGCUCUUCUUGAGUUGCUGAAAGUAGUUCUUCCUGGUGCUAAAAGCUCCUUGAGAGAAGAGAAUAUGUCAGUUUUGUUCUCUGCUGUAACCUCAAUGCUGAGAGCAGGGUACAGAGUAAGUGCUCAAUAAAUAUUUGUUGAAUGAACAAGUGAAUAAGACCUCAAUGGAUAUAGAAGACAAAAUCUUCAGCAGCCUGCCCUCACCCAAGACAGAGCCGGCUUUGGAUAUUCUUUCUCCCAGAUCUCUCAAUGUGAGCCAAGAGCAAACUGUUAAAAGCCACUUGGGACACCUAUGUGGCCCUAA